UGCCUACGGGGGGCAGCAGUGAGGAAUAUUGGUCAAUGGGCGGGAGCCUGAACCAGCCAAGUCGCGUGAGGGACGACGGUCCUAUGGAUUGUAAACCUCUUUUGUCGGGGAACAAAGGCGCCCACGGGUGGGCGGAUGAGUGUACCCGAAGAAAAAGCAUCGGCUAACUCCGUGCCAGCAGCCGCGGUAAUACGGAGGAUGCGAGCGUUAUCCGGAUUUAUUGGGCGUAAAGCGAGUGCAGGCGGUUCAAUAAGUCUGAUGUGAAAGCCUUCGGC
rnacentral:rRNA from 1 species